rnacentral:lncRNA from 1 species
CAUUCGCAGGCUGUGAGAGGGAGCAGCGCUGCCGCUCGCCGAGCGGGUGCCCGCGGGUGCCGAGUGCCGCCCGAGCAGCGCUGCGCCCGCGGGCGAUGGGGCAGCGCCCGGCACCGCAGAGCCCCGUGCCCCGAGCCCGGCCUGCCUGACUCUGGGUCACUCGUGCUCGUCUCGUGUCCCUCAGCUCCUCGCCCCCGGGCCGUGGCCUCCAGCCGCGGGGUCAGACCUCUGGCCGCCCCACCCUGGCCGGGGCUCCUGCGUGAGCCGCGAGCGGUGCUCCGCUGGAGCCUGGGCAUCUGCAGCGGGUGAUGCAGUGGGAGCCGUGUGGUGCCUGGCCGGGGAUGCUGUGGGAAUGCUUGGCUCUCUGAGCACAAAGUGACUGCAACUAGCACGAGCCUGGGACUACUUCUCAGAAGAUGCCCUGCGUGUCUCCAGUCAUUCCUCUCCGGCCUCACCGCAGAAUAUUUGGAGUUGCUAGCUUUCUUCUGCCGAGGGGGGACAAAGGCAGAGGCCUCCAGAGGGUUAAGAGCAUCUGCUUUUACGCCAAGUGUUUGAGCAGGAAAUAAUCUGCAGAGAUACAUGUGCAGCAAUUCAACUGCUGCUGCUCUCUCAGGCUGCUGCUGCAGUUCGGUGUGUGAGAGGAGCCGUGCUGCUCACAGAAGAUGCUUUCUUGGUGUGCCCGAAUCUCCAGGCAUGGCAGCAGAGCCCCGGCUGUCUGAGCUGGGGUAAAUGUCUCCAUCCAAGAGGAAUUAUGUUGACUUGCUGUCUCUGUCGGCUCACGGAGGGAAAGGCCAAGAAGGAAAACGAGGGAGCUGACAGGUCUGAGUUCUCAGCAGCUUGUGAGCUGUCCCCAUCUGAGGAGCAGCUUUGUCACAGAGGUUUCCCUGGCGUGUUCAGCCCAGUGUCAUCCCCAGGCUCAGAGUGCUUUGAGAAGAGCCCACUGAAUUCCUGCUAGGAGGGCCACAGGCAGAGCAAACCUGCCCAGCUCAUCACCAAACCUCCUUUGGAGCAGCUGCCAGAGGGGCCGAAUUCCCUGUUUCCUGCUGUGCUGCCCAGAUCCUGUUCCAUGUGGGCCAAGGCUGGAGUACACCCGCGUCCCCGUGGUUUUGCGUGAGAUCCUCACCCUGUGCAUCCACGGCCUCUCCCUUCUCCUGUCCCAGCUAGCAGCGUGCCAUCACCACCCACCAGAUGUGCAAGUGGCUGCAAAGAGCUCCCCUCCCUGAGCACAGGUGCUCUCUUUCAAGAAAAAAGUAAGUGUUGCUCAGCAAGAGCUGUGCAAAUGUAUAACUGUGUGUUCAAAUGAAGAAACUGCUGCUCCUUGAGGGCAGGCAAGGGGAACAGGGCACGCUGGAAUUCUGGCAGUGGCUAGGUUGGGAAAGUGCCAGUUCCAGCACACUGCUCCUGAUUUGCCUGGCAAGGCAGCUCUCCCAGAUGAAGUGAGAUGUUGUAAGCCAAAGUUCUCUUCAGAAAGCUUUAUUUGGUUUAAAAUGCUUUGUUAUCAAAUACUGCUUCUGACUUCUUCCAACUUUUGACUAGGCUCAGUUCACCUCUGAUUUAUUUUAAAUUCAGUGGUACUUUACACAAAGUGUUCUCAUCAGCCAAGCCACUGCUGGAUUUCUAGACAGAGUAGUUUAGUGUUCGUCUGUCUCAUUUCUUUACUGUCCAAGAUGAAUCUCAGGAGACUGAAGCUCUGAACCAAGUGGCUUCAGGCUAUUCAUCUGGAAGACAAAGCCACUUAGACCUUUGUAAAGAAAGUAAUUUAGUAAUCAAUGCAAGAGGCCAGUCUCUAAGCUAACCCAUUUGGAAAAAUUGCCAGUGCAGUAACUACAGAUAUAUUAUGACAAUAAUACUGAUUAUGUCCUUCCAUUAUUGCCAUAAUUUUUUCUUCUCUACAGCUUCAGGACAGAGUUGGUUUUGCACCAACUUCUAUGAUCCUGUGCAUUAGAAAUGCUUUG